rnacentral:rRNA from 1 species
UACGAAGGGGGCUAGCGUUGUUCGGAUUUACUGGGCGUAAAGCGCACGUAGGCGGAUUGUUAAGUCAGGGGUGAAAUCCUGGAGCUCAACUCCAGAACUGCCUUUGAUACUGGCAAUCUAGAGUCCGGAAGAGGUGAGUGGAACUCCUAGUGUAGAGGUGGAAUUCGUAGAUAUUCGCAAGAACACCAGUGGCGAAGGCGGCUCACUGGCCCGGUACUGACGCUGAGGUGCGAAAGCGUGGGGAGCAAACAGG